rnacentral:rRNA from 1 species
UACGUAGGGUCCGAGCGUUGUCCGGAAUUACUGGGCGUAAAGAGCUCGUAGGUGGUUUGUCGCGUUGUUCGUGAAAACUCACAGCUCAACUGUGGGCGUGCGGGCGAUACGGGCAGACUAGAGUACUGCAGGGGAGACUGGAAUUCCCGGUGUAGUGGUGAAAUGCGUAGAUAUCGGGAGGAACACCCGUGGCGAAGGCGGCCAGCUGGGAUACACCUGACGCUAAGACACGAAGGCGUGGGGAGCGAACGGG